CACGUAGGGGGCAAGCGUUGUCCGGAUUUAUUGGGCGUAAAGAGCUCGUAGGCGGCUCAGUUAGUCGGGUGUGAAACCCCCGGGCUCAACCCGGGGACGCCACCCGAUACUGCUGUGGCUAGAGUCCGGUAGGGGAGCGUGGAAUUCCUGGUGUAGCGGUGAAUGCGCAGAUAUCAGGAGGAACACCGAUGGCGAAGGCAGCUCGCUGGGCCGUAACUGACGCUGAGGAGCGAAAGCGUGGGGAGCAAACGGG
rnacentral:rRNA from 1 species